AUAAUCCAGUUCGCUCUACAUCAUUCCAGUUAAGUCAGUGAAUAUCAAGCACAGUUUGCCUUUUAAAAAAAAAAAAAAAUUUCCAGUAGCUAAUUUUUUGUUUUCUUCAUCUACUCUAGAACUUUUCCUUAAGUAUUCUUUUGUGUGCCUACUUUUCUCAUUGAGUUCUUUAUUUUCUUGAUUGUCUUUCAUUCUUACUCUUUGAGUUUGUCUCACAUAUAGUUUUUCUUUUGCAAUUACCUUUCUUUGCUUAUACCUUUUCUUGUUUGUCUUUAUUGUUU
rnacentral:lncRNA from 1 species